UUACCAGCACGUUAUGGUGGGCACUCUAAGGAGACUGCCGGUGCAAACCGGAGGAAGUGGGGAUGACGUCAAGUCAUCAUGGCCCUUACGGCCUGGGCUACACACGUGCUACAAUGGUCGGUACAAAGGGUUGCCAAGCCGCGAGGUGAAGCUAAUCCCAUAAAACCGAUCGUAGUCCGGAUCGCAGUCUGCAACUCGACUGCGUGAAGUCGGAAUCGCUAGUAAUCGUGAAUCAGAAUGUCACGGUGAAUACGUUCCCGGGCCUU
rnacentral:rRNA from 1 species